AGUGAACGCUGGCGGCAGGCCUAACACAUGCAAGUCGAACGGAAGCACAGAGGAGCUUGCUCCUUGGGUGGCGAGUGGCGGACGGGUGAGGAAUGCAUCGGAAUCUGCCUAUUUGUGGGGGAUAACGUAGGGAAACUUACGCUAAUACCGCAUACGUCCUACGGGAGAAAGUGGGGGCCCUUCGGGCCUCACGCAGAUAGAUGAGCCGAUGACGGAUUAUAUAGUUGGCUGGGUAAAGGCUCACCAAGGCAACGAUCCGUAGCUGGUAUGAGAGGAUGAGCAGCCACACUUGAACUGAGACACGAUCAAGACUCCUACGGGAGGCAGCAGUAGGGAAUAUUGGACAAUGGGCGCAAGCCUGAUCCAGCCAUGCGGCGUGUGGGAAGAAGGCCUUCGGGUUGUAAAGCACUUUUGUCCGGAAAGAAAAGCGCUCGAUUAAUACUCGGGUGUUAUGACGGUACCGGAAGAAUAAGCACCGGCUAACUUCGUGCCAGCAGCCGCCGUAAGAC
rnacentral:rRNA from 1 species